UUAGCCAUGCAAGUCUCAGUACAUGCCGCACUAAGGUGAAACCGCAAAAGGCUCAUUAAAUCAGUUAUGGUUCCUUGGAUCUUAAACAGUUACUUGGAUAACUGUGGUAAUUCUAGAGCUAAUACAUGCAAACAAGUCCCGACCAGAGAUGGGAGGGACGCUUUUAUUAGAUCAAAACCGAUCGGCGUCCGGCUCCGGCCGGCGCCGUCUCUUUUGGUGACUCUGGAUAACUUUUAGCCGAUCGCACGGUCACAGUACCGGCGACGCAUCUUUCAAAUGUCUGACUUAUCAACUGUCGAUGGUAGGCUCUGCGCCUACCAUGGUUGUAACGGGUAACGGGGAAUCAGGGUUCGAUUCCGGAGAGGGAGCCUGAGAAACGGCUACCACAUCCAAGGAAGGCAGCAGGCGCGCAAAUUACCCACUCCCGGCACGGGGAGGUAGUGACGAAAAAUAACGAUACGGGACUCAUCCGAGGCCCCGUAAUCGGAAUGAGUACACUUUAAAUACUUUAACGAGUACCAAUUGGAGGGCAAGUCUGGUGCCAGCAGCCGCGGUAAUUCCAGCUCCAAUAGCGUAUAUUAAAGUUGUUGCGGUUAAAAAGCUCGUAGUUGGAUCUGUGUGCCACGCUGUCGGUUCACCGCCCGUCGGUGUCAACUGGCAUGUCUGUGGGACGUCCUGCCGGUGGCGGUACGGGCUGCCGGCGCUGCGUAGGGGCACAACCCCGAAGCACGCCGGCGUGUCCCGGUCCGCCGAUCCAAUCCCGCCGCGGUGCUCUUCACUGAGUGUCGAGGUGGGCCGGCACGUUUACUUUGAACAAAUUAGAGUGCUCAAAUCACCUCGUAUUUAGGCCUGAAUACUGUGU
rnacentral:rRNA from 1 species